CACCCCCCACCCCCGAUCGCAAAAAUGGCCGAAAAAUGAAACGUUAACGCUUGUUUUUUGUGUGUGUGUAUUGCGUCGUGGAUGAAGCCAUCUGCAGUACGCUGCCAGGCAGGAGAUGUGUUCGGUGGUAGAGGAUCGCCUCACAUUCCUUUUCCUUUUAUUAAAAUAUCAGUCCAGGCUCCCUAGAGGGAUCGUGUGGUGUGGGACCUUCCGGUUUCCAGACAAAGGGUUUGGAGUACCGCGGUGUAGACGCAUCGUUGUUCUUUUCAUUGCUGCUAAGCGCUGCGCGGUGUUCUGCAGGGAUUUUCCCCAUUUACCGUGGAGGAAUGUUUUCUAGGUGUCUAUACUGUUCUGUGGAAUAUUCCUAUUGGAUGAGUUAACAGUUUUCCAGCUAGAUAUUUCUAGAACGGUUACGGCGAUUCCGAAAUUUCUAGUCUUUUCAAGCGCGCUGGAGGAAUGUGAGAGUCGUUCAUUUCCCAGGUCGUAGUCAUGAGAUUUUUGUAUGGAUGCUGCGUUUUGCUUGUUGAACAGAGCUUAGUUUAAGAUUUUUAAAUAGACAUGAUUUUUCUCUCAGGUAGAUUCAAACAGUUGUACUCUCCAGCAAAAAUAAUACGAGGAUUAAAUGCUCAGAAUAAAAUUUCCUUUUAAAAACUCAAUGGUUAUUUAUCCAUGCAGCCUAUUGACAUCGUUCUUUCAACAUUAGAAUGGUUUUAGUAAUCAAAAAGGCGGGGAAGACAGAUUUUUGUUGCAAAAAAGCUCUAUGGUGUGCCUUUCCACUUAAAAAUGCUUUUUUUCAAACUCGAAAUAAAACAUAGUUGAAGUACUACAUGAAGAUUUUUCUAGCUGGUUAUGUAACAUUUGGAAAAUCGAUCUUCAGCCAGAAGAUGUUUGUGUUAAAGUGCUUAAAAUUUUUUUUUAAUUCCAUUUCUUCCUUUGCAUUUAACGUGUUUGUAACAGCGUAUAAUUUACUCAGAGAGGAAUUUUUCUCUUUAUUAUCUUUACAUAUCUCCCUUAUCAGCUAUGUGUAAGUGGUUUUGCUUUUACCUAACAUUUUGAACUAAUUCGGAAGGAUUUAAUCAUGCUUAAUUUGAAUUUUUAUGUUGAAGGAGUAUUAAAACACUAAUCUUACUAAUGCUUUUAGGGAAGUGUAAACGCUAAAUAAUACUACAAAUCAGUUAAUGAUAACUAAACAAUGCAAAGGAAAUGUAUUACAUAAUUUUAGAAAUAAAAUGUUCUGAUCGCUAAUUUUAUGGAAGACUAAAGCCCAAGGGAGGUAAUAGAUUUAUGUACACGAAUGUUAAUCUCAGUUAUUAAGCACAUUAAAAAUCUAAAAGGUUCAACAUUUAGAGAUCUGCUAAUCAUAGUGUGACCAUCAAAUGGAAAUCUAUACAGCUAUUUAAAACUGUUUAGGAGAGUAAUGAUGGGGAAAUGAUAAUGGAAUAUAGUAUUAAUUGGAAA